AACGAACGCUGGCGGCAUGCCUAACACAUGCCAGUCGAACGAUUACCUUCUGGUUUUAGGGGCGCACGGGUUCGUAACGCGUGGGAAUAUGCGCUUAUGUUCGGAAUAACAGCUGGAAACGGCUGCUAAUACCGGGGGCUAACACCGGAUCAAAGCUUUAUCGCCUGAGUAUGGGCCCGCGUUGGUUUGGGGAGUUGGUGGGGUACAGGCCUUCCAAGCCUACGAUUCAUAGCUGGUCUGAGAGGAUGAUUAGCCGGACUGGGACUGCGACACGGCCCAGACUGGGACGGGAGGCAGCAGUGUGGAAUAUUGGACGAUGAACGCAAGCCUGAUCCAGCAAUGCCGGGUGAGUGAUGCAGGGGGUAGGGUUGUAAAGCUGUUUUACACGGGAAGUUAGUGACUGUACCGGGUGAAUAAGCCCCGGCUAACUCCGUG
rnacentral:rRNA from 1 species